rnacentral:rRNA from 1 species
CUACGGGGGCUGCAGUGGGGAAUAUUGCACAAUGGAGGAAACUCUGAUGCAGCAACGCCGCGUGGAGGAUGACACUUUUCGGAGCGUAAACUCCUUUUAUAUAGGAAGAAGAUGACGGUACUAUAUGAAUAAGCGCCGGCUAACUCCGUGCCAGCAGCCGCGGUAAUACGGAGGGCGCAAGCGUUACUUGGAAUCACUGGGCGUAAAGAGCGUGUAGGCGGAUUAAAAAGUCAGAAGUGAAAUCCUAUAGCUUAACUAUAGAACUGCUUCUGAAACUCUUAAUCUAGAAUAUGGGAGAGGUAGAUGGAAUUUCUGGUGUAGGGGUAAAAUCCGUAGAGAUCAGAAGGAAUACCGAUUGCGAAGGCGAUCUACUAGAACAUUAUUGACGCUGAGACGCGAAAGCGUGGGGAGCAAACAGGAUUAGAUACCCUCGUAGUC